AUCGUCGAUCUGCUGGGGACAGAUGAAAUGGAUAUGGCUGUCGAAACCACCCGCGGUCAGGAUCUUGCCCUCGCCCGCGAUAGCCUCUGUCCCCGGGCCGACGAUGAUGUCGACACCGGGUUGGGUGUCGGGGUUGCCCGCCUUGCCGAUCUUGGCAAUGCGCCCAUCCUUCAGCCCGACAUCGGCCUUGUAGAUGCCCGUAUGAUCGACGAUCAGCGCAUUGGUGAUGACGGUAUCGACCGCCCCCUCGGCGCGGGAGGUCUGGCUUUGCCCCAUCCCGUCGCGGAU
rnacentral:sRNA from 1 species